CCUACGGGAGGCAGCAGUGAGGAAUAUUGGUCAAUGGACGAGAGUCUGAACCAGCCAAGUAGCGUGAAGGAUGACUGCCCUAUGGGUUGUAAACUUCUUUUAUAUGGGAAUAAAACGUUCCACGUGUGGGAUUUUGUAUGUACCAUAUGAAUAAGGAUCGGCUAACUCCGUGCCAGCAGCCGCGGUAAUACGGAGGAUCCGAGCGUUAUCCGGAUUUAUUGGGUUUAAAGGGAGCGUAGGUGGAUUGUUAAGGCAGUUGUGAAAGUUUGCGGCUCAACCGUAAAAUUGCAGUUGAAACUGGCAGUCUUGAGUGCAGGAGAGGUGGGCGGAAUUCGUGGUGUAGCGGUGAAAUGCUUAGAUAUCACGAAGAACUCCGAUUGCGAAGGCAGUUCACUGGACUGCAACUGACACUGAGGCUCGAAAGUGUGGGUAUCAAACAGGAUUAGAUACCCUUGUAGUC
rnacentral:rRNA from 1 species